CCUACGGGGGGCAGCAGUGGGGAAUAUUGGGCAAUGGGCGCAAGCCUGACCCAGCAACGCCGCGUGAAGGAAGAAGGCUUUCGGGUUGUAAACUUCUUUUAAGAGGGAAGAGCAGAAGACGGUACCUCUUGAAUAAGCCACGGCUAACUACGUGCCAGCAGCCGCGGUAAUACGUAGGUGGCAAGCGUUGUCCGGAUUUACUGGGGGGAAAGGGCGUGCAGCCGGGAAGACAAGUCAGAUGUGAAAUCCCGCGGCUCAACCGCGGAACUGCAUUUGAAACUGGUUUACUUGAGUACCGGAGAGGCUAGUGGAAUUCCUGGUGUAGGGGUGAAAUGCGUAGAUAUAAGGAAGAACACCAGUGGCGAAGGCGGAUGACUGGACGGCAACUGACGGUGAGGAGCGAAAGCGUGGGGAGCAAACAGGAUUAGAUACCCGUGUAGUC
rnacentral:rRNA from 1 species